GUGUUCUGCUGCCUGGAACUAUUCUGGGAAGGGACAAAGACAAGCUUUCAUCUUGGAAAGGAAAUGGAACCACAUCUAGAAGGGAUAAAGAAGAGUCAAAGCUGUAAAAAAACAAAACAAAACAAGAAAACCUCUAAGUCUUUCCCUGCCAGAAGGGAGAGGCCAUCGUCAGAACACUUCACUGAUUCAGACUGGCCGUUUUUCCAGAGAAGUUUAGGAUUAUCACAGAAGAAAACAUUGACAAGUUAAAAAAAUUUCAACAUGAACUGACAGUCUUGGAUUCUGUCUUCUUUCUAAGAGGAUAAAAAGAGGGUGAUCAAAUUAGAAAAUGUGACCACUGCAAGGCAAUGCCCAAGGCAGGUGGAGGGAGGAAAGCUCAAGAAAGCACG